GUUCCCUUGUUUUUCCUGCUUGGGAAAAUGGGGAAGCCGGUGUCGCCCAAGUGUGGAGGAGCAAAGGACUUUUCUAGUUUUUAGCAUUAGCAAUACAAGAGUGGGGGAGCAGACAUGGCUAUAUUGGAACCCUAUAUGCUAAGGUGGAGGCUCUGGAAGUCUGAGGAGGGAAAGAGAAAAGAUAGAGUGGCAUCUAGACAGGUUAAUUAAAUGAGUGCUGUAGUUUCCAGACCCUUUUGCUGUUUUAAGUCUGGAAGGGAGGGGGUAACAUGGAU
rnacentral:lncRNA from 1 species